rnacentral:lncRNA from 1 species
UAUAAUUAAAAAAAAAAAACCCUUGUAAAAAUUUGAUUAUAAUUAACCUUAUCUGGAAUAGGUAAAAUUAUGUUAUUAUCUUUCAUAAUAAUAAAGUAUUUAUUGAGCUUAAAAAAAAACUCUUGGUAUAUGAAUUGACUAGGGCAACCUUUCCAUAAGCUUCGUAUUAAAAAAGCUGGCCUGUCAAUUAUAGAAAGUGGUUGCAAAUUGUCAAAGAGCACGUGAAGUGGACCGC